AACGUAGGACGCAAGCGUUAUCCGGAGUUACUGGGCGUAAAGGGCGUGUAGGCGGCUUUUCAAGUUCGUCGUGAAAGACCCCGGCUAAACCGGGGGAGGUCGAGGGAGACUGAGAAGCUAGAGGGCGGUAGAGGGACAGGGAAUUCCGGGUGUAGUGGUGAAAUGCGUAGAGAUCCGGAGGAACACCGGUGGCGAAGGCGGCCACCUGGGACGGU
rnacentral:rRNA from 1 species